ACUCACGAACCACCAGAUCAUGACCUGAGCCAAAGUUGGACGCUUAACCAACUGAGACACCCAGGCGCCCCUCAAUAAAUAAUUUUUGAAUACUUGAGUAAAUGACUGUUGUCAACUCUCCGUGUUCUUGAGCAAGCCAGUUUUUCCUUGAGCCUUAUUUUGAACAAUUUAAAAAAUAAACAAAAACCAAAACUCUGAUCAACCUACUCUUCAAGGGUUCAAGGUUCUAGGGCAAACAGUAAGACUCCCUCCACUCAGCUGUUCUUUCAGAUAAUUAAUAAGAGGUGCCAGACCACAGAUCAGAAGAUGUGUUAUGUGAAGCCUGAGGAUUUUUGCCAUGUUAGGCUGGCCCCUUUCUCUCUCCCUGGUUGUAGGUGGUUAGUAUAUAGUACACAGAGCACCGUCAUCAGAGAGAAAGGAGCUAAGAAGUGAGAGGAUUUACACACAGGAAGAAAUGUAUGCCUAACCUCUAUAUAGCUCAGUUCCCAGGAUGUAGAGAAGGGAUGGCCUCUGAAUUCAUUGCCAAGGUUAGAAAGUACUUGGAGGGGCCAGUGACCAGGCCUCUUGUUGCAGCCAUGGGAAACUCUCUAUCCAACAUGGGGGUACCUGGCCUAGCUGCAGGUGAUCCAAUGGGCAGAAGUUAAAAAAUCUUGGUUGUUAAAUAAGAUCUGUCUGUACAUAGUCCUCAGAAUCCUAACUCCAGAUGUGACUGAAUUGCCACUUUGUAAAUACAGAAUUGCUCUUUUAUAAACCAGAAGCCAAUGCCUACAAACUGGGGAGGUAACUUCAUGAACCCCAGAUAACCUGUAUAUAUGCAUACCACCCAGCUAAAAAUAUCUAUAGGCUCUACCCAGCAUGGCUACUUACACCAAUUCAUCUCCAUGGCCUUACACAUACUAUACAUCUCACUAUGUUUCAGGAAGCCCUAUCUUGGAUACAGUGACCUCCUGCACAUCAGUCAAAGGACUGAAACUAGAAUAGGAAAAUCAGGAUUGGUUUCUACUUUGUUUCUUCUACUACUGAAAGUAUCUGACUCUAUUGUAAUUAAUUGCUUCAUGCCUGUUUCUUUCCCUAGGUUAUGAGAUACGCCCCAGAGAACUGAGGAAGAACAAUGGAGUACAUCAUUAACUAAAAUCAGUGCAUAAUUUUAUUUUUUUAAGCAUUCUGGAACAGAUAAUUUAUCACAGUUUGACGCCUCAGGAAACAUUCCAUUUUGGUUAUAUGACACAGAGAGAAGCUCUCUUAAACUUCCCCUACAGACUCCUUCGUAUAUUUGGCAUGAUGUUAAUCCUUCAGGCUGGUGUGGGAAUCUUCUCUUCUCAGCAAAAUUUGAAUUUCUACUUCUAGAUUAGAGUCAAAGAAGGAUUAGAAAGAUGUUCAUUUUAAUAUUUAAAGACCAGUUUAGGAAUACUUAUAAUAUCCUGCUAGUUAUGAAUGUAUUGCAUUUACUAAAAAUUGCUAAGUACCUUGCCAAAUUUUUGUUAAUAUUAUAAUCAAAGGUACUUAGUUACUGGUAUUUCUGCAGCCACUGAAAAUGCCAUGCAAUUAUAUACAGAAUAUAUUUUCUCUUUUGAAACUGAAAAGCCCUAGAGGUUCAGACUAAUGGCUGUGCUCUUCCAGAUACAUUAUUCAUUGUAAACUAGCUUUCCAGAAUCCUACAUUAUGGAAAACUAAUUACCUGUCACAUUUUUAAACACAUGUAUACUAAUACAUAUUAUGAGCAUUUUGAACAAUCUUUCAUUCCUAGUCAACUGUUUUUUGGUGUGUGUGUGUGUGUGUGUGUGUGUGUGUGUGUGUGUGUGUGUUUAACCGUGAAGGCAAAGUUUAAAAAAUAGAAAAAUAACAAAUUAGGAAAAUUUGACUAACAAAGAAUUUGACACAAUUCAUUAUUAGAGAAUGAUAAGUAAGUAAAAUGGAGGAUGAGUAAGAGAUCUACAUGCUGAAUCAACUGUUAAAAUGUAAGUCUUUCUUGCUUUUGAUUCUGUACAGAUGCCAGCCCUGAAAUGGAGGUGGUAAGAGAUGUGUUUCCCAGUUGAGGACAUGAAAGACACCACUCACCAGUUGUGGGCAAUACCUACGAGGGGAUUAGAUUGGAACUUUUGCUACAUGCCCUGCUCCCCACAUAUGAAGGUUCCCAAAGCAUAAUAUAUCCAAUUAUAUGCCUGGAUGGGGUUUUCAGGUCACCCCAGACCAGUCUUCUGUCAGUAAGUUCAUCCUUUGGUGUAGUUUUUAGGGAAAGAUAUUCAAAACUAGUCUCAAGUACAAGUGUUCAAAAACCCUGGGGAGUCCUGAACAAAUACAGAGAAAACUUAAAUAAUAACAAAUCAGGUACAAUUGUAUUAGAAAUAUCUAGAAUACAGAUCUCCAGUCAAGCUCUCUCCAUUUGUUCUACCACCCUGCACUGACAUCUCAUUAAAUUUAGAAUGCAGUUAAAAUCCUGCAAAAUUCUAUAUGAAUUGUUCCCUGCCACCCUAUCUAAUUAGCUCCUACUACUCUCUCCUAGUGUUCCUGGCUUCCUCUACUUCAACUAUCAGAAGGUGCCUGCAAUCACUGCAUCCCUUACAUAAAUUAAAGGAGUAAAGAAGUACAGGAGAUAUUACCCGACUUCUGAGGCUUCAUCAUAAGAAGCACAAAAUCCAUCACAUGGCAGAUAUGCAGAUGGGCAUUCCAUGAGAUGAGCCAAGAUUUUGAACACAAAGCCUUCUUCAGCCAGCUGGGAGCAGAUAUACGAAGAGCCUUGUCACCUGAAAUUUAUUGUCCUUCCCUAUUCAUUGUUCCAGAACAUAGGGCAGCAGCUAGAAUCUGUGGCUGAAACUGAAGUUUCAGUGAGCAGUAUGGUGAGCCUAGUCCAAACCUAUGUCAUCAUCCAAAUGUUGACUUCAGAUUUCAUUGAUAUUUACCAGUACCUUUGUUUUCUUGUUUUUCAUUCACAGCCCUUUACUUUACUCAGUAUUUCGUGAAAUUCUAUAUAUUAUAUGUUAGAUUAUUUGCUAGACAUUUUGUAGUUUUAUCGCUAUUGUUCAAGGUAUUCUAUUUCCUGGCAUAUUUUCUAGUUGGUUGCUGCUGCUUUAGAGGUUGUUGAUUUUUACAUGUUGAUCUUGUACUGAGCAAACUUGCUGAACUCCCUCAUUCUCUGCACCAAUAUUGGUUAUUUUGUCUUUUCCUUUCCAAUUCUUACAUCUCUUAUUUCUUUUUCUUAUGUUGUCCAGGGCUUUUAAUACUAUUUUAAAGAAUAAAUGGGAUAGUAGAUGAUGUCUAUGUGAAGUGCCUUUAUGAAAUCAGAUGACUGCUGUGGCUUUGCAAUAGAUAGUAAAUUAAAUUCAGGAAGUUCCUUUUCUUAGUUUCUUAAGAGAAGCACACUUUUUAAUAGCUGCAUUGUAUUCUUAUGUACAAAUAUAUUGUAAUUUAUUUAGGCAAUAUCUUAUUGAGAAAUAUGUUGGUUAUUUUCAUAAAUUUAUUUUUUAUAUUACAAAAAAAUCCUACAGUAAAAAUCUUUGUACAUAUUUCUUUCCACACUUGUCUAAGUUUAUAUACAGGAAACAUUUCUAGAAGCAUAACUGCUGAGUGAAGGAUGUGUGCCUUAAAUUUGUUUUCUCAAAUUUUGGAUAAAUGUUAUCAAAGAGAGAAAGAGCUAAACAUUUGUACAUCUUGUUUUGUAUACUAUUUCAAGUUAACUAAGGGGGCGUAGUUGAUGAGAGUAAGUUGGUUUUAUAGAAUUUCAAAUGCAACUAUAGGUAGGGCAGUAGCAUUAUAAAUGCACCAUUUUGUGACGUUCAAAGCAGUAAUCGAUUCAAACAGUAACCAUUAACGGAUGUCAAAAUCUUGAAGAGAAAAGUUGAUGAUUAUAACAGAAGGAUCAGAUAGCCAUUGUUUGAUUGCACUUGUUAGUCUUAAAAUCAACGCAGCCAAACAACCAGACUUUAUGAAGUACAGAGAACAUGUGAACUAGUCGCACAAAAAAGCUUGAACCUGAAUCUAAGUUUCUAACGUUUAAUUUCUACUUUAGUGGGAGGAGAGAGGAAGGGAAACAGUUAAAUAGCACAAAGAGGAAACAAUUAGACAAACCCAGAAUGAAGACAUUCUACAGAAGAACCAUCUUAUAUCAGCCACAAGUCAAUGACAUGAAUAUAAAAGGGAGAGUCAAAAAUGUUAAAAAUUAACAGUCAAAAAUGUUAAAAAAUGUAAUUCAAAUACCA